CCUACGGGGGGCAGCAGUGAGGAAUAUUGGUCAAUGGACGAGAGUCUGAACCAGCCAAGUAGCGUGAAGGAUGACUGCCCUAUGGGUUGUAAACUUCUUUUAUAUGGGAAUAAAACGUUCCACGUGUGGGAUUUUGUAUGUACCAUAUGAAUAAGGAUCGGCUAACUCCGUGCCAGCAGCCGCGGUAAUACGGAGGAUCCGAGCGUUAUCCGGAUUUAUUGGGUUUAAAGGGAGCGUAGGUGGAUUGUUAAGUCAGUUGUGAAAGUUUGCGGCUCAACCGUAAAAUGGCAGUUGAAACUGGCAGUCUUGAGUACAGUAGAGGUGGGCGGAAUUCGUGGUGUAGCGGUGAAAUGCUUAGAUAUCACGAAGAACUCCGAUUGCGAAGGCAGUUCACUGGACUGCAACUGACACUGAGGCUCGAAAGUGUGGGUAUCAAACAGGAUUAGAUACCCUAGUAGUC
rnacentral:rRNA from 1 species